rnacentral:misc_RNA from 1 species
GAUGAAGAACGCAGCGAAAUGCGAUACUUGGUGUGAAUUGCAGAAUCCCGCGAAUCAUCGAGUUUUUGAACGCAAGUUGCGCCCGAAGCCAUUCGGCCGAGGGCACGUCUGCCUGGGUGUCACGCAUCGUUGCCCCCCCAAACUCCGGUUCGGGCGGGGCGGAAGUUGGCCUCCCGUGCGUGCCUGCACGUGCGGUUAGCCCAAAAGCGAGUCCUCGGCGACGAGCGCCACGACAAUCGGUGGUUUUUUUACCCUCGUUCCUCGUCGUGCGUGCCCCGUCGCCCGAACGUGCUCUUGCGACCCUCACGCGUCGCCUCGGCGGCGCUCCCAACGCGACCCCAGGUCAGGCGGGACUACCCGCUGAGUUUAAGCAUAUCAAUAAGCGGAGGA